UUAGGCCUGGCUGCAGUAGAACGAGCUCAGAAAAGGCAGGCGUCCCGUAUUACCUGGCUGAAGGCUGGUGAUGCGCCAACUGCUUUCUUCCAGGCGAAGAUCAACUCCAGAGCUCGCAAAAACUUCAUCCACUCGCUGCAGGGGUCUGCUGGUAUAGUUACUGCCCAGGAGCACAAGGAGACGCUGAUCUAUGAUCACUUCAACUCCUUAUUCGGCUCGACGGCGCCGCGGAGUGCCACCAUAAACUGGACAAUGCUCCAACUGCCACAAAUCCAAGGUGGUGGCCUCGACAACCCCUUCACGGAGGAAGAAGUU
rnacentral:rRNA from 1 species